rnacentral:misc_RNA from 1 species
AACGCACAUUGCGCUCCGGGGUAUUCUCCGGAGCAUGCCCGUUUGAGAAUCAUUGUAACCAUCAGGCCUCUGGUUCUUGGUGUCCGUCUUCCUUCGGGGGGAUGGUUGCUGGGAAGUUGGAGUCACCUGGAUUUGGGUCCGUUUGUUCUUAUGGCUGUCCUCGGGCGACCUGAAACAAUGACCUUAAAUGCAAUGUCCGCGCUGUCCUCGUUGAGGCGGCAGUUUAGGAGUGCUGGAACGGAACCAACUAACCUUGGCAUCGAAACUCUCUCCGCUUGAAGCUGCCGGUUGAACGAGUGUGCUGUGCGUUGAACUAGCCGGUAGGAUCUGGGGGGGUCCGAAAGCAAAUGUAUAUUUAACAACUUGGUCUCAAAUCGGGUAGGAAAACCCGCUGAACUUAA